rnacentral:piRNA from 1 species
UAUACAUAUAGGGUGUGUUCUGUUCAGUA